rfam:Stomoxys calcitrans breed 8C7A2A5H3J4 unplaced genomic scaffold Scaffold0, whole genome shotgun sequence.
AAACCGGUUUUCAUAAAAACCACCGAUUUUUGACAACCAUAGUCUGG